GAUGCUAAUACCGGAUAAUAACAGAUGAUGCCUAUCAACUGUUUAAAAGAUGGUUCUGCUAUCACUCUUGGAUGGACCUGCGGUGCAUUAGCUAGUUGGUAGGGUAACGGCCUACCAAGGCGAUGAUGCAUAGCCGAGUUGAGAGACUGAUCGGCCACAUUGGGACUGAGACACGGCCCAAACUCCUACGGGAGGCAGCAGAU
rnacentral:rRNA from 1 species